AACUUUCGACAACGGAUCUCUUGGUUCUCCCAUCGAUGAAGAACGCAGCGAAUCGCGAUAGGUAAUGUGAAUUGCAGAAUUCAGUGAAUCAUCGAAUCUUUGAACGCACCUUGCGCUUGGUGGCAUUCCGCCAAGCAUGCCUGUUUGAGUGUCAU
rnacentral:rRNA from 1 species